rnacentral:rRNA from 1 species
GACGAACGCUGGCGGCGUGCUUAACACAUGCAAGUCGAACGGAAAGGCCCUGCUUUUGUGGGGUGCUCGAGUGGCGAACGGGUGAGUAACACGUGAGUAACCUGCCCUUGACUUUGGGAUAACUUCAGGAAACUGGGGCUAAUACCGGAUAGGAGCUCCUGCUGCAUGGUGGGGGUUGGAAAGUUUCGGCGGUUGGGGAUGGACUCGCGGCUUAUCAGCUUGUUGGUGGGGUAGUGGCUUACCAAGGCUUUGACGGGUAGCCGGCCUGAGAGGGUGACCGGCCACAUUGGGACUGAGAGACGGCCCAGACUCCUAUGGGAGGCAGCAGGGGGGAAUCUUGCACAAUGGGAGGAAGCCGGAGGCAGCAACGCCGCGGGCGGGAUGACGGCCUUCGGGUUGUAAACCGCUUUCGCCUGUGACGAAGCGUGAGUGACGGUAAUGGGUAAAGAAGCACCGGCUAACUACGUG